rnacentral:lncRNA from 1 species
CAGGUCUCUUCUUCAGCCCUUGGACACAGUGUCAUCCCUAUUGGAGUCAAUAAAUAAGAGUGCCCCGGAAGCAUGAGGAAGGAAGCAAUUAAUUUGGCCCAGGAGAGCUGCAAAAAGUUCCAUAGAAACCAUGAUACUGGAGCAGAGUUUCGGUCAAUGAGUACUUUCCCAGAAGUUGGGUUGGAAGGAGGGCAAUCUAAGAAGAAAAAGGCUGAUGCAAAGGCUCAAGGCAUGGUUUGCAUAUCCAUCAUAGGUCAUGACUGACAGUCUAGAGGUUGGAGCUAACAUUGAAAAACAUAUUAUUAUGGGACCAAGUGUUUCCCAGAUGAGAUCUUCUGAUUCAAAGACCUACUACAUCCUAGACAGGGCUCCAGGUGUUAGAGAGGGGCGUAUGGAGUAUUGAGACCUACUGCGUGUGCAGACCGGAUGAAGGGCUGUGUUAAUGACUACAGCAGAAGCAGUGACCCAGAGAAGGUUGGUGAGAUGAACUUCGUCAAAGUUCUGUUGCCUGAGAAAGAAUCAAGCUGUGGUGGGAGACCCAGCGAUUGCUUUGGAGCACUGGUUAUGAAAUUCGCUGUACAUUG